rnacentral:tRNA from 1 species
GGCCGAGUGGUGGAAUUGGUAGACACGUUUGACUCAAAAUCAAAUGCCUUUUUGGCGUGGGGGUUCAAGUCCCUCCUCGGCUACCA